UCUUAAGCCAGAUGUGUUGUAGAGAGCUUGGCAAACCUGGAGGAGGAAAAGGGUCUUGAACUCCAAAAGCACCAAAUGGGCCAGGCAGGACACCGGGGCUCUGCCCAUCACCCCGUUUGACUCCCUACGGUUUAUUUAGGCAUGGGUUCAGGGAGACGCAAAGGCACGUGGCUGACUCCCAGCACAGGUAGUUUCACAGGAGUCAACCGAAAACAAUGGGGCUGUUAAGCUGUCGGAGGAGUCGGAGCUGUACGGACGUGUUGCUUUUGGUCUGGUGGCUGAACGGCGAACUGGAAAGUGAUUCAGCAUUCACUCAAAGCUCAAGGACUUCAGCUGGGAAAGCUCUUGGAGCAGCGCACGCGUGGGCACGCGCCCCCGGGUCAGCCCCCCACGGGAGCGAGACGAUACCCUCUUCCCGCAGCUGCAACCGGUGAUGAAGAGAUGAAGAGCAAAAAGGUUUUUAAAUGACAGAUGCCAAUUUCCCAGCCUCUCAUCUUUACGGACAACAGGGAAAAUUAAUCCCCCGCUUUUCACAACUUCCAGCCCGGCAAUUCCCACGCUUUAUGUGUGUCCCUGGGACGUCGUGGACCUCCUGUUUACCCAUGGGCAAGCGUGACACCGCCUUUGACACAGCCUCCGUGGAAAAGCGCACCUUUUCCUUGGUUUAUAGUCAGGUAGUAACAAAGCCCCAAUUUCCCCGUGCUGCACACGAAGGCCAGGUGCUGUGCAGACCCUGGUGUGGGGCAGGAUGCCAGUGGGGCCACGGGGUGGCCUGGCUCUUACCGAACCCAUCCCUGUUUCGCCCCCGUACCGAGGCUUUCCAGCUGGGAAAGGCCUCCUUUAGCGCCUGGCAGAAGUGGUCAGGGCUCUUGUAAAUAAAUAAUAGGCGCUCUGCUUUUCUACCUCGGGUUAUCCUACAGUAGCAGUUUCAAUGUAAAUCUUUUCCAUCACUACUCUUCUUUUUUUCAGCCUGCACUUUUGAAACGCAGCACUUUAUUCUGCUCUUCCAGAAACGCCUGUAAGAGCUGAGCCAAGACAGCCCAUUCCAAACGGGCGGCGAAGGAGUUAACAAUGCCCUUUCAUGCAAAACCACAAACAACUGGGGGGAAAGAAAAAAAAAAAAACGAAAAAGAGCGAGAGCGAGAGA